AACCCGGUGACAGGUGCUGCAUGGCUGUCGUCAGCUCGUGUCGUGAGAUGUUGGGUUAAGUCCCGCAACGAGCGCAACCCUUGUCUUUAAUUGCCAUCAUUUAGUUGGGCACUUUAAAGAGACUGCCGGUGUUAAGCCGGAGGAAGGUGGGGAUGACGUCAAGUCCUCAUGGCCUUUAUGCCCAGGGCUGCACACGUGCUACAAUGGGCGGUACAAAGAGAAGCAACCUCGCGAGGGUGAGCAAAUCUACAAAAAGCCGUUCUCAGUUCGGAUUGAAGUCUGCAACUCGACUUCAUGAAGUCGGAAUCGCUAGUAAUCGCGGAUCAGUAUGCCCGCGGUCGAAUACGUUCCGGCCUU
rnacentral:rRNA from 1 species